rnacentral:rRNA from 1 species
GACGAACGCUGGCGGCGUGCUUAACACAUGCAAGUCGAACGAAGUGGCGAACGGGUGAGUAACGCGUAAUCAACCUGCCCUUCAGCGGGGGACAACAGUUGGAAACGACUGCUACUACCGCAUACUGAAGGAGGGGAUUGCGUCGGAUUAGCUAGUUGGAGGGGUACCGGCCCACCAGGGCGAUUAUCAGUAGCCGGUCUGAGAGGAUUAACGGCGACAUGGGGACUGAGACGCGGCCCAUACUCCUACGGGAGGCAGCAGAGGGUACUCUUCCGCAAUGGACGAAAGUCGGACGGAGCAGCGCCGCGUGAGUGAUGACGGCCUUCGGGUUGUAAGGCUCUGUUAAUCGGGACGCGGUACCGGGAUAGAAAGCCACGGCUAACUACGUGCCAGCAGCCGCGGUAAUUC